rnacentral:rRNA from 1 species
AAUGAACGCUGGCGGCGUGCUUAACACAUGCAAGUCGAACGAUGAAGUCCUUCGGGAUGGAUUAGUGGCGCACGGGUGAGUAAUAUAUAGAUAACGUGCCUCUUAGUCUGGGAUAGCCAUUGGAAACGAUGAUUAAUACUAGAUACUCCUUCUCUUCACAUGGAGAGUCGGGAAAGUUUUUUCGCUAAGAGAUCGGUCUAUAUCGCAUCAGUUAGUUGGUGGGGUAACGGCCCACCAAGGCAAUGACGCGUAGCGGGUUUGAGAGGAUGAUCCGCCACACUGGUACUGAGACACGGACCAGACUCCUACGGGAGGCAGCAGUGAGGAAUAUUGCACAAUGGGGGAAACCCUGAUGCAGCAACGCCGCGUGGAGGAUGACGCAUUUCGGUGUGUAAACUCCUUUUAUAAUGGAAGAUAAUGACGGUACAUUAUGAAUAAGCACCGGCUAACUCCGU